rnacentral:rRNA from 1 species
UACGAAGGGGGCUAGCGUUGCUCGGAAUCACUGGGCGUAAAGGGUGCGUAGGCGGGUCUUUAAGUCAGGGGGGAAAUCCCGAGGCUCAACCUCGGAACUGCCUUUGAUACUGGAGAUCUUGAGUUCGGAAGAGGUUGGUGGAACAGCUAGUGUAGAGGUGAAAUUCGUAGAUAUUAGCUAGAACACCAGUGGCGAAGGCGGCCAACUGGUCCGAUACUGACGCUGAGGUGCGAAAGCGUGGGGAGCAAACAGG